rnacentral:rRNA from 1 species
UACGUAGGGGGCAAGCAUUGUCCGGAAUCAUUGGGCGUAAAGAGCGUGUAGGCGGCUCGAUAAGUCUGCUGUGAAAGUCCAGGGCUCAACCCUGGAAGGCCGGUGGAAACUGUCGGGCUAGAGUCCGGAAGAGGCGAGUGGAAUUCCCGGUGUAGCGGUGAAAUGCGCAGAUAUCGGGAGGAACACCAAUGGCGAAGGCAGCUCGCUGGGACGUAACUGACGCUGAGACGCGAAAGCGUGGGGAGCAAACAGG